GAAAAACUAACUUUAACUUUACUCCCAAAUUAUCGGUGGAAAUUGUGGUUAUUGGUGUGUUUAUUGGGAGCGGGAUGUAUCCUUACAAAAGAUAAAGUCGAGGUGGUCCCGGGCCAGACCGGACUGUUGCGACGUCCCAGAUUUUAUCAACUUUUUAUAUAGAAAUAGCAAUUAGGAUUCUGAAGCUUCAAUACAAAACACAAGAGCACAUCCCUUGACUGAAAAGAAAAAUCAAAUUUUUAAUUAUAAUGCCACAUUUUCCACACAACAUUGAUGGGGGUCAUGGCAAGCAGUCUGGAGCGAUUUAACCAACAAAUACAGAUGAGAUGGUUCCAGACUAGACAAGACUGUUGGAUGAUCCCUGAAACCGUCAAAAAUGUUAUGUACAGAUACCAAUUGGGAUUUUGAAAUUUCAAAUCAAACACGAGUGCACAUCCCUUGACUGAAAAACUAAAUAUCAUUUUGAGUGUAACGCUAAAUACCAUAACAAUAUCGAUGGUGCUCAUGGCAGGUAGUCUGGGGCUACUUAACGAAUAAAUACAGGCAUGGUUUAAUUGUUGUUACCAUUGGAAGUGAGAUAGUUCACACUCGAUUGUCAGAUAUUAAAAGCAGAAUUGUGUACAAUAAAAAUGUUGUAUUUUACUUAGAUUCGUUUGAAUUUAUCCUACUAAGGAAUAACUUAUAAUAGUGUUCAAAGGAGUUAUGUUUCUGUACUCUGCCGGUAUUACUGUAGCCUCUGAAGAAUAUAUUCCUAAUUACCUACUAUCUGUAUACUUUGAGUCAUUAAAAUGUAUA